rnacentral:pre_miRNA from 1 species
AGUGUGAUUGCUGGAUCAUAUGAUAAGAGUAUAUUUAGUUUUAUAAGAAACUGCCAAACUGUCUUCCAAAAGUAACUAUACCAUUUUGCAUUUCUACUAGCAAU